rnacentral:rRNA from 1 species
AGAAUCAACGCUGGCGGCGUGCCUAACACAUGCAAGUCGAACGAGAAAGUGGAGCAAUCCAUGAGUAAAGUGGCGCACGGGUGAGUAACACGUGACUAACCUACCCUUGAGUGGGGGAUAACCUAGGGAAACCUGGGCUAAUACCGCAUAAUACCUUCGGUCAAAGGAGCAAUUCGCUUAAGGAGGGGUCGCGGCCGAUUAGUUAGUUGGCGGGGUAAUGGCCCACAAGACUAUGAUCGGUAU